UUGGUUAUUGGGUAUCCAAACAAAAGGCCCAACUAAUCCAAACCUGAGUUUCCUACCUAGGAUAUGAAAUAACAGGAGGACAGAGGGAACUUGGGACUGCCAGAAAAGAAGCCAUUUGCCAGACUCCAUGACCAUUGACCCUCAAGGACCUCUGGACAUUCCUGGGAAUGACAGGAUGGUGCAGACUUUGGAUCCAUGAUUAUGGUGUUCUGGAACAAUCAACAGAACCACUAACACAUGACUGCUUGACCACCAUAGAGACUGUAUAUUCGAGCUGAGCAGACUUGAAAGAAAACCCUCUGGAAGGUGCUGAUUCUUGGUUUACUGAUGGUAGUAGCUUCAUGAAAAAUGGUAAAUGAAAGGCAGGAUAUGCUGUUACCACCACUUCACAGGUAAUAGAAGCUAAACCUUUACCUGAGAACACCUCUGCCCGGAAGGCAGAAAUAAUAGCAUUAACGAGAGCCCUGGAACUGGCUAAAGAUAAAAGGAUAAAUAUUUGGACUGAUUCUAAAUAUGCUUUUGGUGUGGUACAUGCACAUGGUGCUAUCUGGAAAGAAGUAGGACUUUUGAACACACAAGGGAAACAGAUUAAACAUGCUACAGAAAUUCUACAGUUACUGGAAGCUGUUCAGCUACCUGAAGAAGUAGCUAUUAUGCACUGUAAAGGACAUCAACAAGGAGAUCCUCUACAGGAGAAGUGGAGCAGACUGUACCAGGUAUUACUGACCACCUUUACAGCAGUGAAGAUAAAGGAACAACCUGCCUGGAUACAUUAUUCAAGAAUUAAGAAAGCACCAGAGCCAGAGAAGACAUGGAAGAUCGAACCUUCAGGACCCUUAUGUAUGAAAUUACGUCGGUCAUAAUUUGGACUCAUAUGAUAACUGGCACACAAACCUGGGACCAGAAUUUAUACCUGAAAUGAGUGCAGAAUGUUACUAAUGUUUUUAAUUGCAGUGACUGUUGGGUGUGUGCACAGUUGCCUAAAUCAGGAGAAAGCCUGAAUCUCCUAUUAAUUGGAGCUCCAAUUCCUAACACUGUCUCAUGGACAAAUUUGUGGGUGAACACUAGCAAUCUGUAUUCGAAGGAAAGGUUAAAAUUUGGAAGAGUUAAUCCUAAUCCAGGUAAUAAAUAUUACACCUGUGCACAAAGAUGUAUUAUACCAGGAACCAGGGUAGGAAAUCUUGCUUAAAUGCCACAGAUGUAGGUCACCAUUCAAAUUGCAAUCAUACUAUUAAUAUAGAUGGUAUCAUAGUUCAGUGGUGGCCCGUUCCUAAAGGGAAAGGAUGGUAUUGGUUAUGUGGAAAAAAUGCUUAUAAGACUCUACCCCGCAGCUGGAAGGGGGCAUGCACCUUAGGUGCUGUAAUACCCAAUUUUACUAUUAUCGACAGGUAUCCUUCCGGGACCUGGAUUAGAAGUUUUGCUAAAUGGAUUAAGCAAGGGUUUAACCCUAUUAUUGAACGACACAGUGCAUUUCAUAGUUUUGUAAGAGGGCUAAUUCCAUCUUUGGGAGUAAGUGAAUUAGAGAAGGCAAUUGUAAAUAUCUCAGCAACCAUAGAGGAAAUGGAAAGUAAAAACAUUGAUAAAAUUCAGGCAGAACAACAAGAGAUAACCAGACUGUCUAAAGUGGUAUUGCAAAACUGAAUGGCUGUAGACAUGUUAUUGGCAUCACAAGGAGGGGUUUGUUCCAUAAUCUAUGAAAGCUGUUGUUCCUAUAUAGACCAAAGUGGCAGAAUUGAAACAGAUCUGGAGAAAAUUUGGAAACAAACUAAGAUAUUUCAUGAAAUGGCCAUGGAUGACACCUCCUGGGGUUUGAAGAAA